rnacentral:lncRNA from 1 species
CUCGGGCGUGCCUGGAGGGGGUUGUCCAAGCAACCCCGGUGGAUAGCAAAUCUAAGUGAUGCGCUAGUAGCUUCCACCCAUACAGGGGAAAAAACACUUCGUUUCGAACUCCUCUCGCCAUGGGAACUUGACUUUGUUAUUUCUUUGUUUGUCCGCAGCUUUCAAAUCCAAGACUUCGGAAUCUGAGUCCCGCAGUUCGCGCAUCUACUCGCCUGUACUUGGAGCAGGGAAGCUUUCUUAGAGAUGCAGUGGCCCUCAAAGUCUGUGGAUUAUCUGUAUAGUAUUAUCCAGCUUCUCCAGCACAUGCCCUGUUCCUAGUUACCCUUCCAUAGCCCUUCAAUCAUAGAGCCCAAAGAGUGAUAUUACCCGACUAACUCUAUCCCCACUUCUGCCCCUAAACUACAGGCCACAGCUAAAAUACGAUGAUCAUUUUAAAAGAUCUGCUUCACAGACAGCGCCCCGCUACCCGCAAGAGGAUGGGUUUUUUGGUUUGGUUUGGUUUUUUUUGUGUUGUUUUGUUUUGUUUUAAAGAACGAGAAAGAGUAUAUGGGAAGGCUUGUGCUAUAACUCUUGUAAAAAUAGCAUCACCUGAGACAAGAACUUUAGCCAAGGAGAGGUAGAGAAUAAGAUUUGGAUUUAGUUUUGGUUAAGCCAUUUCACCACUGUAUGAAGUCUCACGGGCUUGGCACAUCUCAGUUUUCUCAUCUACAAAACUGAUGUAAAACAAACUACUUCAUAGGGUUGUAGUGAAAAAUUAAAUCCUGAAUGUGAAAGCACUUUGGAACUCCUAAGGUGCUGUGAACUGUAGGUGCUGGCUGUGUUUAAAUUUAUCACUCCUCAGGAGGCUUUCAAUUAACGGGUGGCAAAAGGAAUGGAGGAAACAGCACUUUGAUGUAUUAAAUGCAAACCUUCAUUAUUUAUUACUCUAGACUAAUUCUUUAUUGUUCAGUGCUCUUUUAUCUGCAGGUGACAGAAAUCCAGCCAGAUGAAGCUCCUGUGAGAGAAGGGUGUAUUGUCCAGGUCACGCUGAAGGAGGAGAUGUGAAUUCUCAGCGUCCUGCUCCUACUGCCAUGCCUGACUGCCACGAUGGAUUCUUAUUCCCCUGGAAUCACAAGUCAAAUAAAUGCUUUCUUCCAUAAGUUGCUUUUUGGUCACGGUGUUUUAUCACAGCAACUGAAAAGUAAAUGAUACACUAGGCAUGCCUUCAAAAGGUAAAUCUUGUCCCCAGUCCCUAUGACCCUUCUCUGCUUCUUGGCUGCCAUGAGGUGAGCAGCCUUCUCCAG